CCGAUAACUUAAAUCAUUUUCACAGAAAUAAAGAAAUGUACAAUUAUUUUCUUCCAAAAGCCAUCAAACAACGAUUUUCCAGUUUUCAUACAACAUUUUGGAAGCAAUCUUUACAAACAACUGACAUUGGCAAUGUUGUAACAUUUCUUAUUUCAAACGUUUUGAUCUGUCUAACUGUAAGCUUUUUUGUAAUACCAAAGAUUUCCGCCCGCCCAGACCAUUGGUGUGAAAAAGUAUUUUUAGCCAAAAAUGUCAUAUACGACAUUUUGGAAGCCCAGCGA
rnacentral:lncRNA from 1 species